GACAUUGGGGACACCGGUGUCACCUCCACGGUGACAAUGUGACAGUCGGGGACACUGCGGGUGACAAUUGGGGACACCGGUGUCACCUCCACGGUGACAAUGUGACAGUCGGGGACACUGCGGGUGACAAUUGGGGACACCGGUGUCACCUCCACGGUGACAAUGUGACAGUCGGGGACACUGCGGGUGACAAUUGGGGACACCGGUGUCACCUCCACGGUGACAAUGUGACAGUCGGGGACACUGCGGGUGACAAUUGGGGACACCGGUGUCACCUCCACGGUGACAAUGUGACAUCGGGGACACUGCGGGUGACAAUUGGGGACACCGGUGUCACCUCCAUGGUGACAAUGUGACACUGGGGACACUGCGGGUGACAAUUGGGGACAUUGGGGACAUUGGGGACACCGGUGUCACCUCCACGGUGACAAUGUGACAGUCGGGGACACUGCGGGUGACAAUUGGGGACACCGGUGUCACCUCCACGGUGACAACGGGACACUGGGGACAUUGAGGGGACACUGCGGGGACAGUGGGGGUGGCACUGGGAGGACAGGGAGGGGACGCUGAGGUGACACAGAGGGGGACAGGGACUGGUGGCACAGGUGACA